GCUCCGGUGGCCUACUGGUUAGAGCGUACGCCUCAUAUGCGGGAGGUCGCGGAUUCGAACCCCGGUUGAGUCA